AUUGAACGCUGGCGGCGUGCCUAACACAUGCAAGUCGAGCGGUAAGGCCCUUCGGGGUACACGAGCGGCGGACGGCUGAGUAACGCGUGGGAAUUUGCCCCAAAGUGAGGAAUAACUGCCCGAAAGGGUAGCUAAUGCCGCAUAUGGUCUUCGGAUUAAAGGAUUUAUCCGCUUUGGGAGAAGCCCGCGUUGGAUUAGGUAGUUGGUGAGAUAAAAGCUCACCAAGCCAACGAUCCAUAGCUGGUCUGAGAGGAUGACCAGCCAGACUGGAACUGAGACACGGUCCAGACUCCUACGGGAGGCAGCAGUGAGGAAUCUUCCACAAUGGGCGAAAGCCUGAUGGAGCAACGCCGCGUGCAGGAUGAAGGCCUUCGGGUUGUAAACUGCUUUUAUGAGUGAAGAAUAUGACGGUAACUCAUGAAUAAGCACCGGCUAACUACGUGCCAGCCGCCGCAGUAAGAC
rnacentral:rRNA from 1 species